rnacentral:rRNA from 1 species
UAGGGAAUCUUCCACAAUGGACGCAAGUCUGAUGGAGCAACGCCGCGUGAGUGAAGAAGGUUUUCGGAUCGUAAAGCUCUGUUGUUGGUGAAGAAGGAUAGAGGUAGUAACUGGCCUUUAUUUGACGGUAAUCAACCAGAAAGUCACGGCUAACUACGUGCCAGCAGCCGCGGUAAUACGUAGGUGGCAAGCGUUGUCCGGAUUUAUUGGGCGUAAAGCGAGCGCAGGCGGAAGAAUAAGUCUGAUGUGAAAGCCCUCGGCUUAACCGAGGAACUGCAUCGGAAACUGUUUUUCUUGAGUGCAGAAGAGGAGAGUGGAACUCCAUGUGUAGCGGUGGAAUGCGUAGAUAUAUGGAAGAACACCAGUGGCGAAGGCGACUCUCUGGUCUGCAACUGACGCUGAGGCUCGAAAGCAUGGGUAGCGAACAGGAUUAGAUACCCUGGUAGUCCAUGCCGUAAACGAUGAGUGCUAAGUGUUGGGAGGCUUCCGCCUCUCAGUGCUGCAGUAACGCAUUAAGCACUCCGCCUGGGGGAGUACGACCGCAAG